AGAGUAAAAUCAUAUGAGAAAAAAAAAGAAGGACAUGGAAGACACCUGCUCUUCCCUGAGGUCUGUGAAAGCAGCAAAGGAAGUGCAAUACAAAACACUGCAAACAAAAGUAGAAAAUAUCUAUGACAUCUGCGAAGGAAGUAGGAAGGCUGCAGAGGAGAAGCUAUUUAUGAGACGAUGUGAGUGGGAAGAGAAAGAAAAGA